rnacentral:rRNA from 1 species
UACGGGAGGCAGCAGUGAGGAAUAUUGGUCAAUGGACGAGAGUCUGAACCAGCCAUCCCGCGUGCAGGAUGACGGCCCUACGGGUUGUAAACUGCUUUUAUGUACCAAGAAUGUGUUCUACGUGUAGGAUUUUGACGGUAGUACAUGAAUAAGCAUCGGCUAACUCCGUGCCAGCAGCCGCGGUAAU